ensembl:lncRNA
GUUUGAACGGAGUGCUUUGUGUAUGAAAUACAGGAAUCGGCGAGCGCUGCGUUAAUGGUGUCCCUGCGUGUGUGUGUGAGGUCGGCAGCCGAGCUGGGGCUGGAGGUGUUGCUGUGGGUCAGAAGGUUGGAGCGCUGUCCCGCGUUCUGCGAGGAAUGGGGCUGCUCGUUGCAAACAGCGCGGAGUCGUGCAAGUGAGCCAACCACUGCAGUGCACCCACAGCAUCCUACAGCAUGGACCACCUAUAGCCACAGCUCUCGCAGUGGAUUAAUGAAUGCCAAACUCAUUAGCUACAGACAAAUAACAUCUAAAUAGAGGUGACCUUCCGGAUAAUGACAAUGGCAGAUCCAUCUUGAGUUCAUCUCCAGGCUGGUCUUCUGCGUGUGAGAGAUGUUGUCCCUUCAGUGUGUUUUGGAAGCUGAGGUGAGGGAAGGAGCCCUGAUCUUCUGGCAGCUGCCAGGGGAAAAGUAAGUAUUACAGAACUUGCUUUCUGAGAGAGCAAUGCAGUUUCUUUGCGAUGAAGACUCACUGUGUGCAUGAGUCAAUUCCCUUCGUUUUUUGUGGGAUGUAAAGGUCACUUUGUCUGCAUCUGAACUAUGACAAAAUCAAUAGUCUAAUCAAUUUCUAAAGUAGAUUUAGUCUAAAUGACUUCUGUUGUGUGCUGUGAGCUUUGAUGUGUGAACGUGUCCCAAAAAGCCACCAGAACAGUCAAUGCAGAGCAUCGCAGCAAAUAACCUCGCAGAGUUUGCAGGGGAGUUUUCAGUCCCAUUCACUGUGUCCACAGGGCUUUUUUUUCCCUGCCCG